AGAGAAGAAGGGCCAAGGCACAGGCGCAGGGGGCUCCCUUCUGCCAAGAUCAACAGACUGGGCCACAGCAACGCGUGGCAGGGGACAGCUAGUCUGCUAUAAAUUAAUAACCUUCCAUCCAGCUCUUAACCAGAUCCAACUUGGUUAACUUUCGAAAUCAGGAAAAAACACUUGCCACCCUUACUUCCUGUCCUGUGGAUCCAAAGCACAGAAAAUAACAGUGUUGACUGGAUAGUGCC